rnacentral:tRNA from 2 species
GCCACCAUAGCUCAGUUGGUAGAGCAGACGUUUCGUAAACGCCAGGUCAAGAGUUCAACUCUCUUUGGUGGCU